rnacentral:rRNA from 1 species
GAUGAACGCUGGCGGCGUGCCUAAUACAUGCAAGUCGAGCGAAUGGAUUAAGAGCUUGCUCUUAUGAAGUUAGCGGCGGACGGGUGAGUAACACGUGGGUAACCUGCCCAUAAGACUGGAUAACUCCGGGAAACCGGGGCUAAUACCGGAUAACAUUUUGAACCGCAUGGUUCGAAAUUGAAAGGCGGCUUCGGCUGUCACUUAUGGAUGGACCCGCGUCGCAUUAGCUAGUUGGUGAGGUAACGGCGCACCAAGGCAACGAGGCGUAGCCGACCUGAGAGGGUGAGCGGCCACACGGGGACUGAGACACGGCCCAGACUCUUACGGGAGGCAGCAGUAGGGAAUCUUCCGCAAUGGACGAAAGUCUGACGGAGCAACGCCGCGUGAGUGAUGAAGGCUUUCGGGUCGUAAAACUCUGUUGUUAGGGAAGAACAAGUGCUAGUUGAAUAAGCUGACACCUUGACGGUACCUAACCAGAAAGCCACGGCUAACUACGUGCCAGCCGCCGCAGUAA